CCUGCUGCUGUGGCUCCACGGGGCCUCACCGGUGAGUACCUGUCUCAUGUACAGCUGUCUCCCGUGAUAGAGCUGCUGCUACAGGGCCAGUUGUCCUCCCACCACCUGCUGCUGUGGCUCCACGGGCCCUCACCGGUGAGUACCUGUCUCAUGUACAGCUGUCUCCCGUGAUAGAGCUGCUGCUACAGGGCCAGUUGUCCUCCCACCACCUGCUGCUGUGGCUCCACGGGGCCUCACCGAGUGGAAUAUUAGAAGAAUUGUCCCCUCAGAGAGUGGAGUUUAUCCCAGUUUUCCUGAAUUUUCUUCGUGAUGAAUCAAGCAGUUUGCUGCAAGUCAGGGUCUCUUCUGGAACAACCCCAAACAAAGUUCCAAGCUCAGUUCGGGUGACAAAAUAUGUAUCACCAGGCAAGGACCCUGCCAUUCGCAGUCACACGAGGAGACAACCAUCAUCGUGUAAAGGCAAAC